GCAAGUCUGGUGCCAGCAGCCGCGGUAAUUCCAGCUCCAAUAGCGUAUAUUAAAGUUGUUGCAGUUAAAAAGCUCGUAGUUGAAUUUCGGGAUCAAUAUUUCGGUCAUGCCGUUGGUAUGCACUGUUAUCAUUGAUUUCUCACCUUCUAAAGAACCAUAAUGCCAUUAAUUUGGUGUUACGGGGAAUUAGGACUGUUACCUUGAAAAAAUUAGAGUGUUUAAAGCAGGCUCACGCUUGAAUACAUUAGCAUGGAAUAAUGAAAUAGGACAUCCGAUUCUAUUUUGUUGGUUUCUAGGAUCGAUGUAAUGAUUAAUAGGGAUAGUUGGGGGCAUUAGUAUUCAAUUGUCAGAGGUGGAAUUCUUGGAUUUAUUGAAGACUAACUACUGCGAAAGCAUUUGCCAAGGAUGUUUUCAUUAAUCAAGAACGAAAGUUAGGGGAUCGAAGACGAUCAGAUACCGUCGUAGUCUUAACCAUAAACUAUGCCGACUAGGGAUCGGAUGAUGUUAAUUUUUUAAUGACUCAUUCGGCGCCUUACGGGAAAC
rnacentral:rRNA from 1 species